GUCCUGUCAUUCUCGAUGUUGGUCCUGUCAUUAUCAGAGUUGGUCAUGUCACAUUUUCUAAAGUUUCUUACAAUUUUUUUUAAUUUUUUUUCUUAAAUCUAUUUAUCAAAUGAUAAAAUCUUAUUAUAUUUCAAAUUUGAGAUCAAUCCCUUGAGAAAUGAAAAAGUUAUUAGCAUUUUUCAUUUGGUCCUGUCAUUCGGUCCUGUCAUUCGGUCCAGUCAUUAGUGUAACCC
rnacentral:lncRNA from 1 species